rnacentral:lncRNA from 1 species
GUUAAUUUUAGAGUUAUUUAUCUGUUUUUUUCACUAGGUUGAUGCCUGGCUGAAUGAAUUGAUUCAUUCAUGGACUGUGAAUCUCAUGCAGGUGAAGGUCGUGAGUUAUAAUAUGCUCCUUGGAAAAUCUUUGGCAUGAUCAUGUCUCCAGCAGCUUUUAUGAGAUGAACAACUACCAGGUUCUUUGAUUCCCUACCUAACCUUUGCAGUGUUUGGAGGCCCAUUUUUUUCAAUAAAGAGCCCAGACGAUUCAUGCUUUACACAGGAUUGCUCCACGGUGUUUGUUCUUUCCUUGUGAUCUCUCAAAAACCC